UGAGCAAUCUGCCCUUCUCAUUGGAAUAAGCGUUGGAAACGACGUCUAAUGCCGAAUACGACCUCCUUUCGCAUGAUCGGGGGUGGAAAGCUCCGGCGGAGGAGGAUGAGCUCGCGGCCUAUCAGCUAGUUGGUGUGGGUAAUGGCCCACCAAGGCGACGACGGGUAGCCGGCCUGAGAGGGUGACCGGCCACACUGGGACUGAGACACGGCCCAGACUCCUACGGGAGGNAG
rnacentral:rRNA from 1 species